CCUGUGCAACCAGAACUUAGGAGCAGCUUAGCUAGGUGGUUCUAUCUUAGGCUGGAGCUGGGGAAGUCUCUGAUGAAGCUGCAGUCAAGAUAUCAGCUACAGCUGCAGGCAUCUGAAGACUUGACCAGGCUGAAGGAUCACUUCCAAGGGGACUCAUUUACAUGCCUGCUAAGUUACUGCCAGCUGUUGGCAGGAGGCCUCAGUUCCACAUCACGUGGACAUCUUCACAGAGCUGCCUCAUUGUUCUCACGGCAACGCAUCUGGCUUACCCCAGAGUCCGUUAAAAAAUAUCUGUGGAUACAUGUGUGUAAAAUGUUGCAGAAAAGGCCAUGAUCACCAAGACUUGGCAACUACUUCAGAGAAUAUGCUGUAUGAGCUGUGGGACCAAGAAAUAAACAUGAACUGAACUACAGGACUGCAGCCCAAUUUAGAUCAUGAAAUCAAGUUUGGGCACGCUGUGUUUUUAUAAAAUGGUUGUACAAAGAACAGUUGUUUUAAAAGUGCUCUGAAAGAAUGGCUAAAAUCAAAAACACAGGAGACAAGUGUUGGCAAGGAUGUGAAGAAAAACGACCCUCACGCACUGAUGGUGAGAAUACAAACUGAUGCAGCCACUGUGGAGAACAGUAUGGAGGUUCCUCAAAAAUCUAAAACUAGAACUACCUUAUGAUCCAGCAAUUGCACUAAAAGAGCCCUUCAAGUGUUUGAGGCUGCUUGACUAACUUGUGGCUGUGCUGAGCAACAUCAGAGCUGGAGGCAAAAGGAAUAUACGCCAUAUACUGUGUGUAACUGUAUACAUUGUUUUAUGCAUUUUAAAAACUGGUUAAUGCCUUUAAUGAAAAUAUCACCAAUGAGUUGGCUUCCAUUAAAGCCAGGAAAGGAAAAUUAUCAUCAAUUCUAUUUUUGGUAUAAAUAAAAUAUAAACUUAAAAUACUGAAAAUUUUUAAUAUGUCUACUUUUCAACUUUUCAAUAUUUCUUAACUAAUGUUCUGAAAAAAACUUGUAGGUGUACAAGGUGUACUUACAUAGUUCUUACUGUAAUUUAACAUUAAAACAUACACAAAAACAUGCAUUCUGGGGGGCACAUUUUUCCUUUUGCUCUGGGCUCCAAAACGGCUUGGCAUAGCACUGUCAGCUCUUGUUUUUAUUGAAAAUUUUGUUAUUCUGUUCAACAUAGAUGUUUUAUAUUAAUUUAGAUUCUUCAAAAUAUUGUGUUACUCAGUGUGGAGUUUCCUCAAAAAAU